rnacentral:rRNA from 1 species
CCUACGGGAGGCUGCAGUGGGGAAUAUUGCACAAUGGGGGAAACCCUGAUGCAGCGACGCCGCGUGAGUGAAGAAGUAUCUCGGUACGUAAAGCCCUUUCAGCAGGGAAGAAAAUGACGGUACCUGACUAAGAAGCACCGGCUAACUACGUGCCAGCAGCCGCGGUAAUACGUAGGGGGCAAGCGUUAUCCGGAUUUACUGGGUGUAAAGGGAGCGUAGGCGGCAGCACAAGUCUGGAGUGAAAUCCUGGGGCUUAACCCCGGAACUGCUUUGGAAACUGUGCGGCUGGAGUGCAGGAGGGGUAAGCGGAAUUCCUGGUGUAGCGGUGAAAUGCGUAGAUAUUAGGAGGAACACCGAUGGCGAAGGCGGCUUACUGGACUGUCACUGACGUUGAGGCACGAAAGCGUGGGGAGCAAACAGGAUUAGAUACCCCUGUAGUC